rnacentral:rRNA from 1 species
GUGUAAGCGCAGCGAUGCGUUGAGCUAACCGAUACUAAUGAACCGUGAGGCUUAACCUUACAACGCCGAAGGUGUUU